AUGAGAUCUCAAAAGGAAGGACACUUGAGCAAAGUUGCACAGUUGAUCCUUGACUCAUGGUACAAGACUCUUUCCACUACUCUGAGAGCCCUGAGUCCUGAGAAGAAGAUGGAAGGAAGAUGACAAGCAUCCCUAAGCUGAUAACAUGAUGAAGAGCUCUUGUGUUCCUUGAUUUUCCCUCAGCUUUGUGAGGAAAAGAAUACCACAUGAAGAAAAACAACUCAAGCAGGGGUGAGAAGGAAACUUGGCUUAAGUUUGGGGGGCUUGAGUUUAUUAGGCUUUUGUCUUCUAAAAAUCUCCUAAGCUUCAUUGAUAAGAUGUUUAAUAUCAAUCUAGCUAAAAAGGACCAAUAUACCCCACAAAACACUGAGUUAGACAUAAAAACAGAAGGGUAAUAAAUGAAAUAUGGAAAACUACACAACCAGAAAAAUAAACAACUACCAGUACCCAAAACAUGGCUAAAUCUCACAGGAUUAUGUUGAGUGAAAGAAGCCAGCCACAAACCUGCACAUACUGAAUGAUCCCAUUUAUAUGAAGUUCAAGAACAGGUGAAACUAAUCCAUGGUGACAGAGGUCAGGAUCCUGGUUAACUUUGCAGGGACAGCAACUAAGAAGGGGCAAGAGGGAGCCCUCUGUGCUGAUGGGAACAUUCUGUAUCUUGAACUGAGUGGCGGUCACAUGAGUGUGCACAUAUGUAAAUAGUAAGGAGUUGUAGCUUAAGGUAUAUGCACCUCGCUGAAUGUAAGAUACUGUCUUAGUCCAUGUGUGCUGCUGUAACAAAAUAUCUGAGACUGGGUAAUGUGUAAAGAACAAAAAUGUAUUUCUCACAGUUCUGGUGGGUGGGAAGUCCAAGAUCAAAGCGCCAGCAUGUUUGUAGUCUAGUGAGGGCUGCUGUCUGCUUCCAAGAUGGCACCUUGAAUGCUGAGUCCUCCAGAAGUGAGA
rnacentral:lncRNA from 1 species